GAGUGAUCGAAAGAUGAAAAGCACCUUGAAAAGAGGGUUAAAUAGUACGUGAAAUUGUUGAAAGGGAAGCGCUUGUGACCAGACUUGGGCGCGGCGGAUCAUCCGGGGUUCUCCCCGGUGCACUUCGCCGUGUCCAGGCCAGCAUCAGUUCGUCGCGGGGGAAAAAGGCUUCGGGAACGUGGCUCCCCUGGGAGUGUUAUAGCCCGUUGCAUAAUACCCUGCGGUGGACUGAGGACCGCGCAUCUGCAAGGAUGCKGCGUAA
rnacentral:rRNA from 1 species